CAGGCAACUUUUAUUGUUUCAUUGCCUCUAAGUUAAAACAUAUUUGCUUUAUAAUAGUUCACAGUGUUUCAGAGUAAAAUAGUUUGUCAUUUUCGACCAUAAAGGAGGCAGACUCUAAAACAAAACAAAACAUGCUUUUAGAAUCCAUUCAAGCUGUCAGCAUCAUCAACACAGUAAGAGCAGCCAAAUAGAACCAUAAAUAUAUUUGUCAACCCUUGGAGCCUACUAAUAACAGGUAUAUAUUACCUAGAUAUAUGGUAGCUCCAGGGGAGUGCUCAAAAGAGGCAGCCCAUGUGCUUGGGAAGUAUAGCUAUCUUUCACAAUGAGAAUCAGCCAGUCACGUCCUGUCCCAUUGUUUAUUAUGUAUUUAUGUCUUCUCCUCAAAGAGACCAGAGCCUGCUUCACAGGCCACACUGAGAACAGGCUGUGCCCUGACCUGCUCAUUCCCAUUAUUGAGUUCAAUCCAGCAGUGAACAUACCUGUAAAUAAUUUUAUGAAAAGUAUAGCAGGAUUCUCUGUUCCAGUGGUUAUAGACAAUGGGAUUGACAAUCAAAUUUGCAUGUGACAAGAGAAUGGUCAUCUUCCUUGCCCACUUGGGCUUAUCUUUAGCCUGAGCUAGCUGAAAAAGAGUGACACAGUCCAUGGUGCGCACUGGUAGCGAGCACAGAGCAAACAUCCCCACCAUCACAGCCAGCGACUUGGCUGUGUAUAUCUCCCACUGGAGGGUGGUCCUUGAGUGGUCCAUCAGCUCCGUGUACUAAAGCUGCCUGCAGUCACUGUGAAGAACUUGAUGGAGAUCAGCCACAUUACGAGCAGUGGGGGCAGGACUUACCCCCCAAAACUGAAAUAUACCAUGUAACUCAUGGGUACCGCAUUCUGAAAGAGACACUUCACAAGGCAGCAGCUUUCAUUCAUGGUUCCAUCCCAGGGCUCCAUGCAGUUAUUAGAGGUACUGUCUUUACUGUUCCACUCCAGGAAUGGGGUCAGUCCAGUGCCAAAGGCAAGGACCCAGAGGACAGCAGUAACCCCUCUUGUUUGGGUCCCAGUGACUAAACUUUUAUGCCUGAGCCGACUGUGGCUGGCCAGGUACCUGUUGAUGGCCAUGGACAGGAGGCUGAAGAUGGAGCUCUGUGUGAGCACAAGCAUGAAGCAGGCAAGAAAGAGGUGGCUGUGGAAGUCAGUGCAGAACCCAGGCUGAUGAUGAUGGCAAAGGGGAAGGCGAACAGCCCCACGGCCACAUCAGGGAAACCAGGAAGGAGUUGGUGGACAACCGCAGUGCACUUGGCAUGCCAGCCCUAACACCACGAACGGGUGUGCCCUGCACCUCCAGCAGCAUGGCCCGGCCAGCCAGGCUCCAGGCCUCAUCUACCUGGGCCCAUGGCCCAUCUACUAGGGCCUCAUCUACCAUGAGCCUCACAUGGGACAGUUGUGUGUGCCCACACUACGCGUCUGCCAGCCGCAUCUCUCUAUUUAUUUUUAGCUUGUCCUUUUAAGAUUUCAAUUUCUGCCUAUGUUUUAUGCUAGCAAAUAUUAUAUGCAUAUAUUAAAUAAAUAGUAACUAUAUAUCUAUUAGAAGCACAUAUGCUUAAUCAUUUUUUUCCAUCUUGGGGAUCUUUUGAAUUCCCCAAGUGUAAUCAUGUUUUAAUAAUGAAGUAUGCGAUCAAAAGCUUUGGAGAACCCUCCUCUAGAGAGUCUUUGAUCCAGUCAUCCUUUGAAGUUUGCCGUGGACUGUGCUCUGGGGUGGGUUUCACAUGCUGGCCCAGAGUGGUCCAGCCAAGGAGAAAGGUCCUGUCAGUGUGGAGAAUAGUAGCACAGCAGCUCUUGAGAGGGACUUGUUGGUGAGGGGGGACUUAACUAUCCUUGAGAAGGAGAUGUCUGGAAGAGCAACUUGGAUGUCUGUCCCCUGUGCCAAUGUGUGCUCCUCCUCUGAGGUUACCUCCUCAGGGCUCCCUCCUACUGAUAUCUAGGCCUUUUCAUGACAUUCUUUACUGAAGAGAGGGAAUCACAAUUUGUCAAAGGGAAAUUUGCAGAUGUGGGAGGCCUAGGAUUUCCUCCAGCAUAGGUAGAACUGUGGUGUCCAAGUAGUACCUUGCAAAUGGUCAGUGUGAGUGGAUGCUGUCAGCAUGCUUAGGAGGCUGAUGUCUUCAGACCUGUGUCCUUCUGCUCUGACUGUAUCUCCCUGCUUCUCUGGUGAUUUAUACUUAUGACAAACACUAUUGGUUGCUGAAUAGAACCACAGUUUUGUUUGGCGUGGCAAUGUGCCCAGUUGAAAGCUCCAUUUCUCAGCCUCCCCUGAAGGGAACAGUGGCCACAUGCCAUGGCUGUGGGCCGUGAGAUGUAAGCUGAAGUCUUUGGAUGGGGCCUCCCAGUGUGCUCAUUAUCAGGGGUCAGAGUCAGCUGGUGUGCAUCCUGUACCCUUCACCUUCCUCCUUCUCUUGCCAGAAACACUGAGUGAUGCUGAGGGUGGGGCCACUGUCUUGUGAACAUCCAGCAACAAGGAGGAGGAUGGAGAGCUGAGUGGAAAGACAGAAGGAGCCCAGGUCCCCGAAGGCCCUAGUCAGCUCCACCCAGACUUUUUGUUAGGAGAGGAAAAUAAGUCUCUGCCUGAUUCAGCCAGCCACUGUCAGACAGUUGGAUUUUCUGUUACUCCCAGGGGAAUGCAGUGCUAACAAACUUGAAAGUCAUGACUGCAGGUCUCACUGACACCUUGGUCAAGGCUGUUGACUUCAUGCAGGAUGCUGAUGCCCUUAGAAUGGAAGAGUGUGAGCAUCCCAUGUCUUCAGGAGCCCUUGCUGCCUCUCCUUCCCUGGCAAUUGUAUUAUAGAAUGUAGAUAUCUUGUCACUGCUAGUCAGCUUGGCCACGCUUGCUGACAGAAAAAAAAAACAACAAAAAACAGAAAACGCCAAUUUGACUCAUGUUAUCAGAGUUUGAUUUCAAGUCCUGGAGGAGGAGAGAGUGAACUGUCUCCUUAAGAAUAACGAAUUCUGUCAGGAAUGUGGAAAGUGAAAGUCAUGAUGAUGUGCUGGAGCCAGUACACAGGCUUGAGAGAGCCGGGGGUGUCCAUCUCUUCCCAAUCCACAUGCCGUGAUGUCCUGUUGGUGACUCGAAGUUGGCCACAGUGGACCUGAAAUCCAGCCCACACUCUGCUCACCACCCUGUGGGCCUUGUCCCAGGACUCAUCCCUUCUCUUCUGGAGCCAUUUCCAAUUCUGCCCAAAAGGACAGCCUGAAGUGUUCCUAGGUGUGAAGCAAGUGUCUGACCCUCAGGAAGCUGCUCCCUCUGCAGUGCUCAGCUGGACCCUGGGUACCUGGCUGAAGACUUUGGACUUUAACCUGGAGAUGAUGGAGAGUAUGCAGGAUAAAGUCCAUACCAAAUCCAACGCCUAGCAAAUGGAGAACAAGCCAAAACUAACAAGAUAAAAUGUAGCAGGAAAAAGUGCAAAGAGCUGAAGUGUGGAAUAAGUGGGAGAGGUCUGCCAUGCCCUAUCUGACCUUGCUGCCAUGAUCUUUAAGGCUGUGUGUCCUGGUUGGUGCAGCUACAAGAUGGCAGAAAUGCCUAAGUGAUGGUAUGGAACAGAGGAUCCCUCUUCUCACCAUUGUCUUGCAUGUUUCCUUGUGUGAACCACAAAUAAACUUUUGUUAUGUUAAGCUGC
rnacentral:lncRNA from 1 species